rnacentral:tRNA from 1 species
CAAUUUAAAGCUUAAAAAGUAAAGUGUUUUAUUUACAUUAAAAAGAAAAAUGUGCAAUUCAUUUUAAAUUGA